rnacentral:rRNA from 1 species
AGUGAACGCUGGCGGUAGGCCUAACACAUGCUAGUCGAACGUCAGCACAGUAAGAGCUUGCUCUUACGGGUGGCGAGUGGCGGACGGGUGAGGAAUACCUCGGAAUCUACUUUUUCGUGGGGUAUAACGUAGGGAAACUUACGCUAAUACCGCAUACGACCUACUGGUGAAAGCAGGGGAUCUUCGGACCUUGCUCGAUUGAAUGAGCCGAUGUCGGAUUAGCUAGUUGGCGGGGUAAAGGCCCACCAAGGCGACGAUCCGUAGCUGGUCUGAGAGGAUGAUCAGCCACACUGGAACUGAGACACGGUCCAGACUCAUACGGGAGGCAGCAGUGGGGAAUAUUGGACAAUGGGCGCAAGCCUGAUCCAGCCAUACCGCGUGGGUGAAGAAGGCCUUCGGGUUGUAAAGCCCUUUUGUUGGGAAAGAAAAGCAGCAGGUUAAUACCCCGCUGUUCUGACGGUACCCAAAGAAUAAGCACCGGCUAACUUCGUG